UUACUUACCUGGCAGGGGAAAUACUAUGAUCACAAAGGUGGUUUUCCUAGGAUGACGCUCAUUCAUUGCACUGUGGGUUUGCUGAUUCCUGUAAGUUCCCCAAAUGUGGGAAACUUGGCUGCAUAAUUUGUGGUAGUGGGGGACUGUGUUUGUGCUCUCCUCUA
ensembl:snRNA U1 U1 spliceosomal RNA